GGUGUCAACGAAUUGUUGAUUAGUUUAAUAGAAGCUGUUGAAGUAUUUUCCGAGCACCAAAAGGUGGAAAUUAGAGAGGAGGACGAGAGGGCAGCAAGAGAACUUGUUAAAUGGGAACAAGAUCAGGCAUAUAGGGAAAGUCUUGAAGCUGAUAGAGCGAAAGAAGAAGCGAAAAGACUUCAGGAAGAAGCCGAGAAACAGAAA